rnacentral:tmRNA from 1 species
GGGGGUGACAAGGUUUCGACGGGGGUCGGAAGCACAGGUUGCAUGUCGGGGAGGCCGGUUGGCCCCGUUAUCAAUCCGGUAAACAAUAAACGCCGACAACGACGUUUCUUACGCACUGGCCGCUUAAAUAGCGGUCGCAUCUCCCGAUCCCCCGCCCGCGGGGGUCCUGAGAUGUCAUUCAGCGGGCUGGUCCGGUCAUUCAUUCCGUGGUGUCCGGAUAAGAUCUAAGCGGAAUCGCCUCUGAAAAAUCCUGUCCCCGGGAGUUUUCAGAGGUUAAAUGCAAAACAGGGAAUAAACAUGUAGACACCUGAUGUGGAACACUUUCGGACGCGGGUUCGAUUCCCGCCACCUCCACCA